CUACGGGGGGCAGCAGUGGGGAAUAUUGCACAAUGGGCGCAAGCCUGAUGCAGCCAUGCCGCGUGUAUGAAGAAGGCCUUCGGGUUGUAAAGUACUUUCAGCGGGGAGGAAGGGAGUAAAGUUAAUACCUUUGCUCAUUGACGUUACCCGCAGAAGAAGCACCGGCUAACUCCGUGCCAGCAGCCGCGGUAAUACGGAGGGUGCAAGCGUUAAUCGGAAUUACUGGGCGUAAAGCGCACGCAGGCGGUUUGUUAAGUCAGAUGUGAAAUCCCCGGGCUCAACCUGGGAACUGCAUCUGAUACUGGCAAGCUUGAGUCUCGUAGAGGGGGGUAGAAUUCCAGGUGUAGCGGUGAAAUGCGUAGAGAUCUGGAGGAAUACCGGUGGCGAAGGCGGCCCCCUGGACGAAGACUGACGCUCAGGUGCGAAAGCGUGGGGAGCAAACAGGAUUAGAUACCCGAGUAGUC
rnacentral:rRNA from 1 species